UACAGAGGUCUCAAGCGUUGUUCGGAUUCAUUGGGCGUAAAGGGUGCGUAGGUGGCGUGGUAAGUCGGGUGUGAAAUUUCGGAGCUUAACUCCGAAACUGCAUUCGAUACUGCUGUGCUUGAGGACUGGAGAGGAGACUGGAAUUUACGGUGUAGCAGUGAAAUGCGUAGAGAUCGUAAGGAAGACCAGUGGCGAAGGCGGGUCUCUGGACAGUUCCUGACACUGAGGCACGAAGGCCAGGGGAGCAAAACGGG
rnacentral:rRNA from 1 species